CAGUAGCCACGGGAAUGCGUAGGUGGCAAGCGUUGUCCGGAAUUAUUGGGCGUAAAGGGCUCGCAGGCGGUUUCUUAAGUCUGAUGUGAAAGCCCCCGGCUCAACCGGGGAGGGUCAUUGGAGACUGGGAAACUUGAGUGCAGAAGAGGAGAGUGGAAUUCCACGUGUAGCGGUGAAAUGCGUAGAGAUGUGGAGGAACACCAGUGGCGAAGGCGACUCUCUGGUCUGUAACUGACGCUGAGGAGCGAAAGCGUGGGGAGCGAACAGGAUUAGAUACCCCUGUAGUCCCUGUCUCUUAUAC
rnacentral:rRNA from 1 species